AAGCUAAAUUGGAUAAGUAGAACAAGAUGGAGGAAGAUCAGCGAGAAGAUAAACCAGGCGGACGCCUCCGCCUCCCACCGUUGGUAUUUUUUCACGCCUUAUCGUCGUCUCCAUGUCCACUCCCGCCAUUAAACCUUUGCUUCCACUUUCUCCUUCCUUUAAUCAUCCAUCUCGCUCGCCCAUUUCAUGGAGUUUCUGCAGACCUAUCUCAGAUUCUUCGCCUUCUUGCUCUAUUUUCAGCUCUUCUCGGCAGCGACGACAAGUAUCCGCCUCGGUUGCCUUUAAUCCAUCCGGAAAAUUUGAUCUCUCUUUGCAAGACGAUGAAGAUGAUUCUCCUAAAGUUUCACCUCCAAUGCCACCCACUGAAGGUCGGUUCGACGUGGUCAUAGAUAACGAUGUAAUUCGUCACCUAGACUUGUCCUCAUUUCAGAAAACAACUGGAAUAAUCUCUCCUUUAGCUACUGAGCCAAAACAAUUUCUUGAGCGUACAAUUGGUUUUACAAUCAAUUAUACCCGAGAAGAUCCUCACGAUCGUCGUGAAUUAUCUGAAUACCCCGACAUAAGACUGUGGUUUGUGAGGCUUGAUUCAGAGUAUCCAUGGCUACCGGUUUUACUGGACUGGAGAGCGGGAGAGCUCGCUCGCUAUGCAGCCAUGCUCGUCCCUCACCAGAUUAGUAUGAGAAUGGGAAUUGUGUUCAAUCCUGAGGCCUUGGAGUUGUUUGUGAUGAAGAAAGUUUUUAUAGUGUAUUCAUGGUUGAAGAAACAUGACAUUCCAAAGCCAAGAUUGAAGACAGCUAAUAUGGCUAGGAUGCUUGGGUUUGGGAUUGGAGAUGAACUUUUUGACUUGAUAGAUCAACAUCCAGUUGUCCCACCAUGAAAGACGAGACUGAGCUCGAAACUCUGCUUCGAUCGAUCCUUUGAAUCGAAUCGAGAGCUGUUUUUACUAAGCGAACCAAGAAGAGAGCCGCGAAGAAGAUGGAAAGAAUCAACAUGAAGAAGACACUGUUCCAUCCUCUUCUAGAAACAUAUCCUGCCAUUAGAGGGCCAAGGGCUGCCCCAACAGAUCCCGU